rnacentral:lncRNA from 1 species
CUGCGUUUCUCUUUCGGUUUCACUUUUGGGCUUGCAUACAGACCACUGCUGUACCGGCUGGCUAGGCUGCUCUGUAAGUAAGGCUUUUCCCUAUUAAAUACCCUUAUAUUUCUACUUGGCUCCAUAUUGGUAAUUUCCCACUAUAUCUGGUUGUCAGGAGUGGGAUAUUGGAAACCUACACCCCAUUUGGGACCGGCUGUGGGAUCCACCCGGCCUUCGGCCUAGGCGGGGAAAGUGCUCUCUCUCCACAGGUGCUCCCGGCUCCUAGCAAACCUGCUGCCCCACACAAGCGUGUUCCAGCGGCCAGGGAGCUGCUCAGAACAGUCUGCCCAGCUUGGAGGCAGUUUCUAGCUGCCUAGAGAAUAUUUCCUCUGCUUGUUCCAAUGAGGCAAAUCUACACUUCUGUUUUGCUACCCACAUUGGUAAAGAAAAGUAGCAGUCAUUGGAACCCAUUGCAUGUAGAUACAUCAGGGGCUUAGACCUUCACUGAAACUUGAUAACUAUGGCUGCAGAUGAAAUUAAGGUUGAUAAUUUAUGUUUUUGUGGUAGAGGCUCUCCUAUAUCAUCCAGGUGGGCUCAAAAAAAUUCCCCAAAGUUCUUAGAAGUGGAAGAAAAGUUCAGAAAAGAGUGAAAGACUGAAUUCGGAGUGCCAUACUGCUAGUUUUGGAAAAUAUUCUGUGCAAAGAAUGUGGAUGGCCCCUACAAGUAGAAAAAGAAAGGGAUGGAAAUUAUUGCUUUACCAGCACCCAUAGAGGGAAUGCGACUCUGUGAUAUUUUUGUGUUUUGGUGUUGGAAGACAUUUCAGAUUCCUUAUUUCUAAAAUGAUACUGUAAUAGCAUAUUGCUUAAAACUAAAACUUUGUGAUCUUCUGUUACAGCACAAUAAGAAAUAAAAAUACUUAUAUUCCAGCCACAGACAGUUUGUAUGAGGAGUUCAUAAAUUAUACUACUGCAAAUCAUUCAAGAUCUCUGUUCAGAGAUUCUCAAGUGUUCUGUUACUGCAAAUAUCUCUUUCCAUUUUGACUUUUGUCUUAAUUUGACUGUUGUAUUUAUGUAAUUACAACAGGAUAUAAAUCCAGGCUAUAUAGAAAGGGAUUCUCUUUAAAAUGGAGAGCUAAUAAACAUUCUUUUUUCUUUAGGUAUCUGUAAGAUCACUAUCCCUUGAUAGAGGGAGCCAUUAUGCGGUUAGGGAGAAACCUGGUGCUAUGAAUCCACAAGGCUGACUCCAGCUAAUACUUCUAGCAAUAGUGAACUUAACUGGCCUAUCCCUGUAAUCACAUAGACACAGGUUGCUAGGUAUCCCUGGCUUGUGUUGAACUCAUGGAAAAUUCCUACUUUGGUCUCACAAGUUUUGGGAUUACAGACAUGAAUCACCACAUAGAAACUGUUUUUUUUUUGUUUUUUGUUUGUUUGUUUUUUUCUGAGACAGGGUCUCACUAUGUAAACCAGGUUGACCUUAAGCUGCUAGAGAUACAUCUGCCUCUGCCUCCCAUAUGCUGGGAUUUAAUUUUUAUCCUACCAUGAACGAUUGUUGACUAUUCUUAAGUGCUAUUAAAGAUAUAUAUGACUUGAACCCUUUACUCCUCAAGAUACUUUUAGUCAUGGUAUUUUACCAUAGCACAAGAAAGACUAACUAAUAGAGUUCUGUUGAUAUUUAGCUCAAAAGCAAUUGCUGAGGUCAAGAAACCUUAAGAAGAAUUUAACUAUGAGGAAGAAAUUGCUUUGAAAGGAUGUAAUUAUUAGUUACAAGGAGUUUGUCAAACUACAAACUUAUACAUAAAAUCUUUACAUUAUACUUGAAUUAGUAAAUGUUAAAGAAUUAUUUCUUUUAAAAUACUUAAUUAGUAAAUUAAAUGAAGUUUCAUUUGGUGGUUUAGAUCUCUAAAUUGUGGAACUCUGUACUAUUUGUAGAGUAAUAUUCUUUCCAACAUUAACAUAGCCCAAUCAAAGCACAUGUUUCAUAAUACCCUAAUAUUUUCCUUUCCUAAAAGCACAAGAUGUAUUAAUACUUGUAUUAUUGUCUAUCAGUAUAGUAUGUAUUGAAAAGACAUAAAAAUGAGACUAAAAUACCAUAGGUGGAAUCAGUUACUUGAUAUUUUUGCAAGUUAAUACAAUUUUAUAAGGAGAUCUUUUCCAUUUGCCUUUUUCCUAUCUUUUUCAUAUAUUUCGACAUUAUUAUAAAAGGAAAUGUUAAAAUAGUACAGAAAAGAAGAUGAAGGGCUUAUGGACAAUGAGGUGCAAAAGAGAGCAGUGAAAGGACUCAGAGGGUAAAAAUGACAAGCCAGAUGACCUAACAUCAAUUCUCUGGACACACAAGAUGGAGAAAGAUUUGACUUCCACAAGUUGUCUUCCCACCCCCAAGUCCAAGUUUGCACUGUGGCUUGUGCACUCAAACUCACAAAUAAAUAAGAAACUAAAUGAAGAAAUGUACUGAGCUCUGAUGAAGAUCCAGUGAGGAUGGUGUACCAAAAUCCCGAUGCCUCUAACUAGACCAAUGAUUCAUUGCAAAGGACAGUUGCCAGUCAAGCUAAUGGAAAAAGGGUGUACUAUAUGACACAUUAAAGUCUCCAAUGGGGUGUUGUUUUGUUCUGUUGUUUGUUGUUUUGGUUUAUUGCUUUUUUAUUAUUGUUUUUGCUUUUGUUCACUUGCUUUCUUACGUUGUUUUGUUUUCUUUCAUCGGGUGUGCAACAGGGAUGAGGGGAUAUGGGGAACCAGGAGGUGAACAGAAUUGGGGUACACGAUGUGAAACCCCCAAUGAUUCAAUAAAGAAGUUUUUUAAAAAAAGAGUAUAGUUCACUUCCAAGAUUCAAAAAGACUAUAAUGAUUUCUUUCACAUGUGCAAUAAACUAGAGACUCUGUGUCUCUCAAAUAGAAAAAAAUGCCAAAAAUUCUAUGUAGGAUUUCCUUGUCUAAAACCUGAAAUUUUCAUUUUCAUGAAUACAAAUAUUUUCUCUAAAGAACUACAAAUUUAUCUCUCUCAUA